GCUUAGCCCCGAUGGAAACGGCAUCCUUUUUGUCUCGUUUUUUUUAAAACGAGACAAAAAGAUAUAGUGUACAGCGGGAUUAGCU
rnacentral:sRNA from 1 species